rnacentral:lncRNA from 10 species
GCGUCCGGGGGCCUGGCGUUCCCUGCACGAAGCGCCCUGAGUGAGCAAAGCUCGAGCCUGGACCCCGAGCUGCGUCCCGGGGCGGCUGUGGGUGGGGCCCGCGGGCCGGGGGUUCCCUCCCGCGCCUCCUCCCUCCGCCCGCGCCCCCGGCCGCCUCCACCUGGGUCCUCGCCUCGCUGUCGCCCGAGGGCUCGGGGGCGCUCCGAGGCCAGCGAGACUCCAGCCCCAGCCGGCGCCCGGGUUCUCGACACCGUCCGGAGAAAGAACUCGGGGUCGGGUCAGAAGGAAGCGAGAGGCUGGAAGCGAAGCGAAGGCACAGACCCGCCGCGCUCGGCGGAGCUUGGGUUUCCUCCCUGGGGGGCGGAAUGAUCUUUAGGGAUUCUGGAAACGAAGGGGACUUCAGGGAACCCCGGCCCCCGCCGCGCCUGCCCCUUCUCCCUUAUUGGGCGUUUUGCCGGGAAGGCUCAUGGACGUCUCACUCGCACGGGUGUUUGGCCGUUUUCUCGCUCUCGUUUUGGGUUUUCUGUUAAACUGCGGUCCCUUUGCCUCGGUCCUGGUGCAGCUGCUGCUUGGGUUUUCCAUCCUCCUGAGACCACCGGUGCAAUUCCCAAUUCCCAUCUCAACGCCACCGCCCACCCGGACGCCGCUGGGCUCAGCCCUGGGCCCGCUCGUCCCGGUAUCUCACGCUCCCUGACCCGGCCUCAAUGUCCUGACCACUCGGUGCAGCCGGAGACGCCGGGGUCCAGCACGUGCUCGGAAGCCUGCUGCUCCCACAGGGUCCCCAGCACAGGGGAGGAAAUGGAAGCUCGGACAGAUGGACUUGCUACUGGGCACGCAGAAGCCGGCUAGCAUUUGCAGACAGCCUGACCUUGGAGCCUGCGCUUGAACACCUUCCUCCACUGCUUCUGAGAACCCAGCAGUUUCCAACGGCAGCCUCCCUUCAGAAGGAAAAUA